rnacentral:rRNA from 1 species
AAUGAACGCUGGCGGCGUGCCUAACACAUGCAAGUCGUACGAGAAAGGGGCUUCGGCCCUGAGUAGAGUGGCGCACGGGUGAGUAACGCGUGGGUAAUCUACCCUUGGAUUUGGGAUAACUUCGCGAAAGCGGAGCUAAUACCGGAUAGUCUGGCUUUAAUUAAGAAGUCGGUAAAGGAUGCCUCUGCAUAUGCAUUCGUCCGAGGAUGAGCCCGCGUCUCAUUAGCUAGUUGGUAGGGUAAUGGCCUACCAAGGCAACGAUGAGUAGCUGGUCUGAGAGGAUGAUCAGCCACACUGGAACUGAAACACGGUCCAGACUCCUACGGGAGGCAG